CUUUAAAGAAUGCUAUAGUAAAAGACCAACAAUAGCAUUCCUCAAAUUAGAAGGACCAACAAUAGCAUUCCUUAAAUUAGAAGGACCAACAACAGCGUUUCAAAAACACGGAAGGGAUUUAUAGCAUUUUCACUUAAACCACGUCUACCGUCUAUAGCGUUCAACACUUCAACCUAAAUAUUGGGAGAAAACCUUGGCGCCUGUACAGAAGCCUCUGAAAUUUUCGAACCCUCCACCGGGGGAUGGGGCUUCCAGAAGAGUAUGAUUCUUAAGUUUCGAAUGCUUGAACCGACUUCUCGACGAAUCCUCCGAAGCCACCGCUGCUGCUGAGGUUUUCGUCACCAGCGGAGGGCUUGAAGACCAGGGAUCGACGGACUUAGCCGAUGAAGUCGUUCGUUUUCUGAAUAUUGGGCGGAAAACCUUGGAUCCUCACAAACACCUCUGAAAUUUUCUCAAUCAGUAUUGUGCGAACUGGUUUGGGCGGAUCUGAUGUGAUUCUAGGUUUUUGUUCAUUUCAGUGUUAACAGCUACCAAAUUGGAGAUUUUGGAUGUUUGAUGGGUGUGUUUAUCGUUGUUAUUAAGCUUUCAGUACAGAAUUUGGGCUAGAAUAAAUGAAGCUCCAAGCAGCAGUUGCCCUCGCUUGUCUCAUUUGUUUGACCUGGAUUCAACAAAUUAUUUGUGAUGAAGUUUCUAAUACAUCCAACAUGAACAAGUGAACUUGUACAUGUUCUUCAGCAUAUCAGGGGAACAAAGGCUUUCCUAUUGAAACCAACUGCUCCAGCUCAUGUGACUGCAGUCCUGGUGUUCGAGUUGGAAGAGAAGAUCAAUAUUUCCUCCCACUUUGAUGAAGAUGGAGAUUACAAUGGUGCCGCUGGAACUUAGUUGAAGUUUUUUCCUUAAUACUUCCCGUUUUGUGUCAAGACAUGUGGGCAACUUUUGGUACAAUAAGAUUGUUUCACUCAUGCCAUUCUAUUUCAAAAUGUUGGAAGGACAUGAAGGCUUGCUAUUGAAUUUAUUUUUAUUUAAAGUUACUUGAUGUUGGAUGGAAAUAUAUUUCUCUUUUGUUUUGAAUGAAAUCCUUGGUGAAUUUAUGUGUA